rnacentral:rRNA from 3 species
AUAAAUUAAAACUUUCAACAACGGAUCUCUUGGCUCUGGCAUCGAUGAAGAACGCAGCGAAAUGCGAUAAGUAAUGUGAAUUGCAGAAUUCAGUGAAUCAUCGAAUCUUUGAACGCACAUUGCGCCCGCCAGUAUUCUGGCGGGCAUGCCUGUUCGAG